CUGGAUUUGGCAUGACGUCUUGCAAUGAACAGAGUCACAGCGGCCGCAGCACCUGCGGCAAUCAAACCCGCUGCCAGCAGUAAGUUGAAGGUACUGGUGCUCAACUCUGGCGCGGUUUCAAUUUCUAAAAUAGCAGGGAAUUCGUUUCACCUUGUCUCCGAUACCAGCUCUCAGAACUUCAACAUUGAGAGUGUCCUUUAGUUCACCGCGUAUUCCGUCUGGAGGGCGAAAUUUGAGCCGAUGACAAAAUUCAUCGUUUUUCACAGUUCUGAAAUCGACAAUAACAUUACGUGUAGAUUACGAUACUGGGAUUAUUCGACUUUAACUUUUCAUUAAUCCAACGUUUAUUUCAUAUUGGCCAACUUUUGGUAUACCAACAUGUAAUUUAUAGGAAAUGAUUUUAUCAAUGAAUACCUGAAGCGUAGAGCGUACAAGGACCUCUGAAUUAUGCAUUGGGUGUACGGAUGUGGCCACUUGUAUCCUUCAAUCGCCAAUCUCUCCAGUUGCAUCCGCAAAGGUUGCAACUGGUGUGGUCUGAGAUCGUACCUUUAGAAGGAAAGUAGCCAAUAAAAGGUCAUCAUCUUCCACGUUACCGUAUUUCUGCAAACAACGUCCGAACGCCAAAUCUAAAUGAUAGAGAAACAGUGUCAAUAUUCCUGAUGAACUUUUUCGUUUUAUAACGAAGGAAACCUUCAUCAAUUCAUAUCUCUACAGAGCAAGAGAUUGUAACAAAAUUCAAUACUCACCAUUAUAACAAAAUUCGAUAUCCGGUUGGCAAAGAUUUUCGCUGAAUAAACAACCUGUAACACAAAGGUGAAAUCUGCCGGAAACCACAAAGAGGCUCUCUCAGGCGUUGUCGAAUUUUAGGAAAGGCGCGUGGCUCGCGAUGAAAGAAAUAUUGAAUCCCGAAGAAGGGCACGUAAGGUUUGGGUUGGGAUAGAAGUUAACGGGGGGUGGUGAAUACGUGGGAUGGAAGAUAACAGAAACAGCCGGAGGAGGUGAGGCAGAGAGCAGCUCAAUAACUACGCAAUGGCCAUGGGCGAACGAGAGACGUGGGCGUCGUUCGGAUGGCUGACAAUGAGCCCUUUUCAAAACUCUCCCCGCGAUUACGCCCCCGCUGACGCUACAAACUUCGUUUCCUGUUAAACCUAUAUGUACACUGCCGAUAAACCCCAUAUGAUGACGAUAUUAUGGGCACGCAGGUAGAAUUUUUUAAAUUCACGUCAUAUUAAUCGGAGCAUGCAUAUCAAUCGCAACUGUUGCAUUUCGUUGGAUGAUUUGAGAUUUGGAUUUUUUCUCAAAUAAUCGCUACUCCGUUAUCAUCGAGUCUAAAUCGGCGUGGGGAAAACCCCCUCGCUACGCUUAUCCGACACGUCAACGAUAAUAAAGAGACUACCGAACGACACGACGUGGAUUAACCACAGCGACUAUUGAAAACCGGAAUCUGCUGGCCGAGCGAAAUAAAAAUACACGUCGGAAUCUAUACUGAUAUAAAAUUCGUAUCAUUACGAUCCAAGUGAUCCAAUAAUGAUUAUCUGUGUCUUCCUAUGCAUGACAUACGUGCCUCGUUAUGGUAGGAAUGGCCGUUGACCUCUGUGAUAUUCGCUCGCCACGUUAAAAAACGGAAAAAAUAGAAAAGGAAUCCUUCAAACAUCCGUUGCUGAGCUAGCCUGCGACCUUGGAAUUUUUUAAUAAAAGCUGGAGUAUAAAAAAAUUGCACUCUCACUGCUCUUAAUUACUCCACGUAUACAUACUGGACUCGAUUGCUCCCCUUUAGUUAACACGGAAAAAAGAAUUAUAAUUUCUUGUCGUAGGGGUGGGGACCGAUGCAAUCUCCAUAUUUUAACUGGGCCGAGUAAUCCGAGAGUCCUUUAAGAAAUUGCGAAACAAAAUUGCUUUCGAAAUCGUUGACGAAUUUUAAAACUCGCUGCAGGGAACAAUCCCUUUGGAAACCCCGAGGCGAACGCGCAAGAAAGAGAGUUGAAUGAGCAUUAUUUUUUAUUCCUUUUGAUAGAGAAGUACUACCCGCAAGUUUCCCGUCAAAGGAAGAGCAGAGCAAAAGACAUAAUUUCUAGUAGAUUUAUGUAUAGUUCAUCUCGCGUAACCACGAAGUGGAGCUUAAUACCGCGGUCUUGUCUUCUGACGAUAAAAAUAUGUCCGACCGUUACUAGAGUACAUGCUGAAUUCAAUCUUUUCUACGAUCUCCUAGGGAAAUAAGGAAAAUAAGAAACAGCUGAUCAAAGAGCUGAGUACCGUCGCGAUAUUGCUCGCGAUAAUGGAAGUUGAAAUACAAAUCAAUUUUCCCCUUCCCAAGAACUGUUUCCGAGAGAACUUAGUUCUGAUUAAGUAUCUGGUAAUCAACAGAUUAUCACUCGAAAACUGUCGAGUCUACGUUUUCCUCAGGGGAUCGCGCGCACUAUAUCUUUAUACGCGUAAUUUAUGGACGGCGGUGUCGAGAUGGUCCCCAAUUUUUGAAAAAAAAUGGGUUAUCAGAGUCCAAGUUUCUUUUCGAAUAGUUGUAAAGUGCCUCUCAAAAGUUUUCAAAAAAGUUCUACUCGAUAAGAGUAGAGUAUCAGCCCCUUUUCCAAUACCUGUGCAAUGGGCGAAAAAGUA